GCUAAAAAUUUAGCCCCAAUACAACUAAUGUAACACAAAAACCCAAUCAUAUUAACCAAAACAUUUUACCGCUUUAGUAAAGGUGAUUGAAAAACCACUUGGAGCAAUACAACAUAGUACCGCAAGGGAAAACUGAAAUAAAAAUGAAAUAACCAUCAAGCACAAAAAAGUAGAGAUCUACCCUCGUACCUUUUGCAUCAUGGUUUAACUAGUCUAAUCAAGCAAAAAGAUUUUAAGUUUGACCCCCCGAAACUAGGUGAGCUACUUCAAGGCAGCUUUAUGAGCGAACCCGUCUCUGUAGCAAAAGAGUGGGAAGACCUUCAAGUAGAGGUGACAGACCUAACGAGCCUAGUGAUAGCUGGUUACUCAAGAAAAGAAUUUAAGUUCAACCUAAAAUUAAAAAAAUAAUAUAAAAUAUAGCCUUAAUUUUAGAGCAAUUCAAAUAAGGUACAGCCUAUUUGAAAAAGGACACAACCUCAACCACCGGGUAACUUAACUUAAAUGCUCAACAAAGUAGGCCUAAAACCAGCCCACCA
rnacentral:rRNA from 1 species